CUGUUUUUCAGAUGCGGAAUAGGAGGCGCAGGGAUGCUGUGUCACCUGCCCAAGGCGCCCACCUGCCAGUGUGUGGCCACGUCUUUCUGCCCAGGAGGCUGUGGGCCUUGCAGGACUCUCCUUUAGCACUGGGCAGAGAGCAGAGGCCACUCAGGAUGGUUUUGGAUCAGGCCCUGCGGACCAGGCUCCAGGCCCACCCACCUGCAGACCUCACAGCCGGCCGGCUCAGAAUCUCUGCGCACGCAGGUGAGUGAAGCUUUCCAGCAAAAGCAGUCUGUAAGGACUGGGAAAGGAGACUGCUCCUUUAAUGCUCUGACAUCUCAAGUGAUCAGGGGAACGUGGCACCAGUGAGGAGAAAGAGCACCAGAAACUGACCACGGGAAGAGGGGACCCACAAACUUCUGGACACAGAUCUUAAAAUGACCAUCUUUAAGGAGCUAAGUGAACUGCAAAAGAGCAAGAUGGAAAGGGAAAUCAACUCAGGAAAACCAAACAUGGCUCAACAGGAAGUUCACAAAAAGAACCAGACAGCAAGAAUGAGGCUGGCCGAGGAGCACAGGACGGGAUGGGACAUUAACAGCACCCUGUAUCAGCAGCCUCAAUGGAACAGAAGAGCGAAUCGGGGACCAGGAGACAGACCCUCUGAAUUCACCCAGCUGGGGACAAGGGAAGGAGGAGGAAAGAGCACAGAGACCUCCGGGCUCACGAGACCCCACCCAGCACUAGCCGCAUGUGGUGGGAGUCCCAGGAGCAGGGACAGGCAGGGACAAAGCGCUGGCAGGAGACCCCGAGUCUGGACACAGGCACGGAGGGUGGACCUAUGUGGCCUGAAGAGCCUGGAUGCAUGUUCUGAUGACAUCCUCCAAGGACAGAGAGAGAGAUCAUGAACAUGGUCAGAGCAGGUGACUCCUCAUGACAGGGCAGACCCGUAAAUCCAGCAGCGGGUUCCUAGCAGAGACCCUGUAGGCCCUGAAAGGAAGGACCACCAUCAAGAAAACUGUGACUGGCCAAGGGGCUGCUCAGAAAUGGAGACAUCGAGACUUCCCCAGCCAAAGUCCCAGGGAGUCCAUUACCACGAGGCCAGCCUUGCCAGAAGUGCUCAGGGACGCUCUUCAGGUUGAGAUGAAAGGACACUGGUGACGAGCAGACCUGAGAUGGCUGGGAAUGCAGCACACAGCAGGCCCUGCUGACCGGCUGCCUCCUUCCAUAUUCCAGUCUCCUGUGGUCAACAACAGCAUGAAAAUAUGAGAUGGAAAGUUCCAGGAGGAGAGAAGUAGGAAACUUAAAUCACAGGGCACGCGGGGUAGCUGACGACAUCUUGCCCAUCCUGCUCCGGCUGUGAUUGUCCCUCUGUACUCAUUUCAUGCCGUGAUUACAGCCUGCCCACUGGUCACCUGGGGCCAUUGCCAUUACUCAUCAAGGGUCCAG
rnacentral:lncRNA from 1 species